AUAAAUAUUGGGAAUGAAGUACUCCCGUGGUUUAUACCUAAAACGCUAACAAGCUAAUGACUUCUGUGAUGUU
rnacentral:ncRNA from 2 species